UUUUAUCAGUUGAUUGCACUAACUUCUUCGUUUAAAUUCUCCUAAUACAAUCUCUAGCAACCAGUAAAACAAACGCAUACUAAAAUAAAAUAAUGUUUGUAAAUCUAAGAAGGACAGAAUUAAAAGCUAGGAUACUGCACAGAUCUUACCCACGCCACAUUAUUCAAGAUCAUCUGGUCUUUUCUGCAAUUGGCAUUCGACUGGAUGAACGUGAUUGGUUACGUGAAUAGUUUUGCUGAGUCUCUGAGUUUCUGCAAGGCGGUGAUGUAUAUAAGGACGUCCUUUGGAUUACACCAAAGUCAGUGGUAGCUGGCUUGUGACGGAGCACCUCCUCAUCGAAAGCAACAUUUGUUGGUAAAGUUUGCGAGUCACAUUAGCAUAUGUAAAAUAAAGAUAUGAACAAAAACGAUAAAAAUUCCAAUUUUGAAUCAAAUGAGGAUGAAGGCUCUGAUCUCCACAAAGGCUCUCUGUUUCGUAAGUGGUUGAGAUACACUACACAUGCCCUUGAGAUGUGACCUUCGUUGCCAUCUCGCAAAUGUAAAUUAUAACAUACCAUUGAAUAGUAUGAUCUUGAAUAAUGUGGCUUUAUCAGCUUUAUCACUUUUAUCAGUUGAUUGCACUAACUUCUUCGUUUAAAUUCGCCGUCUGGCUUACAGCUCACGCAAUUAACCAUUCAGCUACCCGCCCCACGGGUGGAGGUUGAUGAUGAUGAUAAUGGAGCAUGAGCAACAUGACGAAAACAAUUCCCGCGAAGAGAACGUUCUGCAGGAGAUUCUUGUAGACGAUCAAGUAGGGAUGGAAUCAGAUGUUGACAGUUAUGCUGAACUUUUUAAUAUCUUGCUUGAGUUUUUAUAUUUGGACUUUAGUGUUGAAAUAUAUGAUUUAAAUCUACCAUUAAUUCCUGAUGAACUGUAAGUUUGACUGUAUAUGUAGAAAUAUUUUAUUUGUAGAAAUGUAGAAAUGUAGAAAUGCACAAACUAUGGAGUUAAAAUUUGUUAAAAUAACUAUUUAGAUAGAAUGUACUCUAUUACGUCUGUAAAACGUAUAAACUUGUGUAGGUGCUAAUUUUAAUAAAGAAUCUUUUUCACUAUUUGCCAAAAACUUACAUUCGCGAGAUGACGACAAUUCCCGAACGUGAUCUCACGUGAUCUAGAGUUAAGCUUAUCAUUGGCUGAAAUUGAAGUGCAUUUUUCAUUUUAUUCGGCGUACUUUCUGGAUUUUUAGUUCGUGCGUUAUUGCAUGGCAAUGUUCAGUCGUCCAUAGAUCCAACACUUAAGGAAUAUGUAAUGUACGUGUCGUUGCCUGGUGAGAUUUGGGUGAGAGCAUUAAGACUUUUUGUUCUUCCUUUGAUUGUAUCCAGCCUGCUUUUGGCAGUCGCUGAAUUGGAGUCAUAACAGAGCGGAAAUUUGGGAAGAAAAACAUUGCUGUAUUGUCUUAUGACUACAAUGUUUGGGGAGUAAUUUGUUUAUUUGCAUUUAACCUGGAAAUGUUAACGUGAAAGAACAAGAACCAAACGAAGAAAAAGUUGAACCAAUACAUUCUGUGCUUGAUCUUACAAGGUGCGAGUGUGGCUUUUGUGUGGUCAUGAAAGUUUAUACCUCUACUUAUCAUAUUUGGCACUUUUGUUUGAGUGGUUCUUGACCUUACGUGUUUUUGCGGACGGAUUGUUAUGGCUGCUUGGCAUUUCACAUUUCGCUUCUAAGACAAACUUCCUUUGAGGUAAAACGCACAAACAUUUC